rnacentral:rRNA from 1 species
AUUGAACGCUGGCGGCAUGCUUUACACAUGCAAGUCGAACGGUAACAGGGUGCUUGCACCGCUGACGAGUGGCGAACGGGUGAGUAAUACAUCGGAAUGUACCCAGUAAUGGGGGAUAACGCUUCGAAAGGAGUGCUAAUACCGCAUACGCCCUGAGGGGGAAAGUGGGGGACCGCAAGGCCUCACGUUAUUGGAGCAGCCGAUGGCUGAUUAGCUAGUUGGUGAGGUAAAGGCUCACCAAGGCGACGAUCAGUAGCGGGUCUGAGAGGAUGAUACGCCACACUGGGACUGAGACACGGCCCAGACUCCUACGGGAGGCAGCAGUGGGGAAUUUUGGACAAUGGGCGCAAGCCUGAUCCAGCCAUGCCGCGGGUCUGAAGAAGGCCUUCGGGUUGUAAAGGACUUUUGUCCGGGAGCAAAUGCUGGUGGCUAACAUCCACCGGAGCUGAGAGUACCGGAAGAAUAAGCACCGGCUAACUACGUGCCAGCAGCCGCAGUAACAC